CAUUGAGAAGCUAUGCACCUAGCACUAGCCUUUUAAGCUAGAGAAAGAGGACUUUCUCCUCCUCAAUGA
rnacentral:tRNA from 1 species